UUGACACCUGGAUCAUCAAAAAGAAAUGAUACAUGAGGAAGUUCAUCCCUAAAAAGUUUUAGUUCAUCAUAGAGUGUUGACUGUGUGCUUGUGUGUUUCAUCCUACACCUAAUCCAAACCUGCCCAAAGUAGUCCAACUGAUCCUCCCAUGAUCCACAUGAUUCUCCUAGAUCAUCGGGCAGGUCUUACAUGUCAUGCUCCUAGGAAUAGGCACUACAGUUGUGAGUAUUGAUCCAAUCAAGUAUAGGGGUGGCAAUGCUUCGCCCAUUCAACCCAUUGUAGAUUAGGUUACCUAUUUAAUAAAAUGAUCAAGUUCAAGUUUGAAUUUUUCACCCACUUAAUAAAAGUAUCAAGUUCGGAUUGACAUAUUUUUGAUUUAUCAAUACCGACCUGACACAGACCUUGUCCGACCAGACCCAAUUGCCACCCCUCAUGACUAAGAUCAGCUAAAGAGGAAAGGAAUAGGAAUUUGCACCACAAGUAUGAUCAAUGACUAGUGUAAUUGCAUUGAUGGUUAAGGUCAAGCGAGGAGAGAGAAAGAGAAAGGCAUUUCUUUC
rnacentral:lncRNA from 1 species